GAUGAACGCUGGCGGCGUGCCUAAUACAUGCAAGUCGAGCGAACAGACGAGGAGCUUGCGCCUCUGACGUUAGCGGCGGACGGGUGAGUAACACGUGGAUAACCUACCUAUAAGACUGGGAUAACUUCGGGAAACCGGAGCUAAUACCGGAUAAUAUAUUGAACCGCAUGGUUCAAUAGUGAAAGACGGUUUUGCUGUCACUUAUAGAUGGAUCCGCGCCGCAUUAGCUAGUUGGUAAGGUAACGGCUUACCAAGGCAACGAUGCGUAGCCGACCUGAGAGGGUGAUCGGCCACACUGGAACUGAGACACGGUCCAGACUCCUACGGGAGGCAGCAGUAGGGAAUCUUCCGCAAUGGGCGCAAGCCUGACGGAGCAACGCCGCGUGAGUGAUGAAGGUCUUCGGAUCGUAAAACUCUGUUAUUAGGGAAGAACAAAUGUGUAAGUAACUAUGCCCGUCUUGACGGUACCUAAUCAGAAAGCCCCGGCUAACUACGUG
rnacentral:rRNA from 1 species